UGACAAUCUACAACAGUCCUGUGA
rnacentral:piRNA from 1 species